CUAAGGGGUAGGUGGCUUGGUUGAGGGACCCGUGGCAUAAGAAUAUACACAACUGACAUAGGUACGUAUGUCGGGUUUUGAACACAGCAACAUGGUCUAGAUACAGUCUUAUCUUUUCUUCAUAAAACCAUGCACGAGAAAGCUGCACAAGAAUACCUGGAAUUGCGUUAAGUUAAUGAUAGAAGUCUAAGUGUCACUGAAGUUCUAAGGGGGCCCUGAUCUCGCCUACAGAGAACGCCACUGGCCAGGUGGGUGCCUUCGAAUGAGAUGAUCUUUAUGAGCCUGCUAUUCCUACUGGAAGAUCAGAGACCUGGCCCACGGCGGUGCUCAAUAGAUGAUCAUUACUGGUCCACGUGUAGCUACUCUAGACAGAGUUAGUGAGGGUUCAAGUAAUUUAGCCGUAAAAUGGGAAAGCCUGGAGUUCUUUCUGACUUCCCCCAAAAGGGCGGUGUGUGCAGCCCACGACACCUACUCCCUUCCUUUUCCAGGGAACUGGCCCUUUCCCCACAAAGCACUGCCCCCACAUCGCGUCUUCCCCGCUUUCCACUAGAGCUUGUGGCCUCAGUUACCUCAACCAAGUUUCAAACUCCGCCUCCCCUACCUCUACCAGCCGCGCGCGCGCACACACACACACACACACACACAGCACGCAAAGAAGCGGUGCACACGCCACAGCGGGGAGGAACACGGACCAGCUGGGGGUCCAGCUCUCCCUCGAGGGGGGUGCGGCAGCAAGGGGGCGUGGCGAACGCGAGGCCCGUUUUGCAAUUGGUGGCGGCAGGGCCGCGUGGAGCCCCACGUGACCAGUGGGCUCGAGGGCCCACGGGCCUACGGGCUACGGGCCCGGGCGCGCAGACGUGCUCAGCUGGGCUGGGACGUGGGCGGAGGUGGUAAAGGGGUAAAGGCGGAGGAGGGAGUGUCUGCGAACAGGCAACACAUGCCUGGCGUGGUGCCUUGCAGCUGGCGGCGGGUGGGGCCGCCGGGCGAGCCGCUGCUUUCCCCUGUCCGCGGAGGCUGCGGACGGGAAACGAUCCGGGUGGGGAGCACCCCUGCCCAGACCCCUUCCUCUGAAAGUCUGCGGGAUCCAGGGGCCGGGUAAGCCAGGGGGCUUGCGACCUGACAGUGGCCAUGAAGAACAGAAAGUUCACUUCACAAUCACUCCUUGCCUAGAUUUUUAUCUGGUAUGUGGAGCUCUUCCCCCAAACAGGUGGGCAAGGAAGAAGUGGAGGCCCCAGCAUCUUCUCCGCAGGCCUGCACCUGGAAGCAGGGGCAUAGAGAAGAGUGUGUCUGUGAUCUGCCAUGGAUUCCCAGGUCUGAUGUUUUGGUUUACCUUUCUGAAUUGGUUUUUUUCUUCUAUAAGAUAGGGUUAUACAGGAAAGACAAAAACGCUAUUUUUUAAUUUUAAUUUUUUAAAAAAUACAAUUUAUUGUCACAUUGGCUAACAUACAGUGUGCAAAGUGUGCUCUUAGUUUUGGGGGUAGAUUCCUGUGGUUCAUCACUUACAUACAAUACCUAGUGCUCAUCCCAACAAAAAAAUGCUAUUUUAAAAAGCUGGUUGCUUUUUGAGUUGGAAUCUAAGGACAAUAGAAUUAGAGUCUUUUUCUUUCUUGGGGUGGUUUUUUCUUUUUUUUUUUUUUUUUCCCCGGUUUGGUCAAGGUAAAGGGCUAAUUGAGAUAGGAGUGGUUAGGACCUGGGGACUAAAAUUGCUCUGCAUAAAGAAAUAAGAACUUUUUGUUUUUAAUUGAGGCUGGAGGGAAAUUUUUUUAUUUUGCUUUUGUUUGGGCAGGAGUGGUGAGAGAGUGGGCCCUAGCAGACAUGAGAAGUUGCUCCUCCAGUGGCGAGAAGGAAGGGGGCGUGAGCUUUGAUGUCUGAUUGUCUAUUUUAAGUAGUUUCCUAUUCGCCAUUAGAAUCUUUCUCUGGUAAAGAUGUGCUCGCAUGACACCCAGAUGUUCAUGUGUUUUGGAGACUGAAUAGAGAGGGCUGCAUCAGCAGUAGGGGUGAAGUGAAAUAGAAGGGAGAUGAUGAGAAUUGGGUUGCAGUUGGGGUUUAGGAUCAAAAAUAACAAGGAAUCAUUGGGCACUUUUUAGCACCCUCCCUAGGAUCCUUGAAAUCAUUAAGGAGAGGGCUGGGUCCCAACAGUUAUGUGAGAUCUGGUCUAAAAUAGGCAUUUGAAUGUUAAAUGAAAGAUAGUAUACUUUGGGAGCAUGCAGAUAUCAGGGAGAAUAAUCUACUGACCAGGGUUGGAAGGUGUAAAUGUGGAUGUAGGUGAAGGCACUUCAUAAACUAGGGAAACACAUGAUCUUACACAAGAUAAAACCUCUUUCCAUGAAGAAUAUUUUGAAGUCAGAUUUGAAUUCAACACUGAUCAUGAAUAUAACAAUAAUUAUCUGGAAGUCAUGAGCUAUGAUAGUUUUCUUUCUGUGUGAAGUCAGUUCAGACUGAUAGUUAAAACACAAUUUGGAUGUUAGAGAUACAAUUUGAAAAAAUGGCUCCAUAUGACCCAUUGUUUCAUGUUAAGAUGUGAGAUUAGGAUCCCAUGGUAUAUCAGGCCCAUUUAGUGGGAACAGAAAGCAGCUUUGGUCAUUUAAUAUUUAGCUGAGACUAUGGAUAGGUAUGAGAAAAAGGAAGUGAUGAUGUUGCAAAACAACGGGAAAGAGCAUGUAUAGGAUAUAUAUACUAGACACUCAACAUAUAUUGUCUUUACUGCUCAUUCUUGUCCAAAGAAGUGGUGAUACGUCCAUUCUUUAGAUGGGGGUGGGGGAAAGGUGACAUUUACACUGAUGGAAGGAUUUGCUCCAAGUUAUAGCACUGAAGUGGCAGAACUCCUGCAGACUGUCACCAAGGUCAAGGUCCUUGUUAUGUUCAUCUCACCAUGCUGCCAUGUGGGCUCUGAAUACAUCAGUGCUUAGCCUCCAAGCCUUGUGUGCUUCCAGACUCCUUGUCCCCGUUUCACACCACAUCUCCAUUGUUUUUCUUCCUGAGAAUUUUUAAAGAAGGCUUCUGACAAGACUUGAUGAGAUGCUACAGCUGACAAGCAUGUGAAAAAGGAUGAAAUAACUUGAGGUCUGGAGUGAACAGUUACAUUCCUGGAUUGUUGAAAGCCCAUUCUUUACAUGGGAUCAACCAUCUUUGGUGAGGCUGGGUGGAUGAUGCAGUUUCACUUCUAGGUGUUAGGAUUCUCUUUCACACUGGUUUGUCAUGACCUUAAAGUAUUUUAAGUUUCUCCUUUGCUUUGUGUUCACGCCCAAACUCCAAGGGUAGGAUCUACCACAUAGAGGGUGGAGUGGCAUUCCAAUUCCAUUUAUUUUCUGCUGAAGCUGGCACAUUGAAUGAAGAUUUAUAUCUUAAGUGACAGGAUUCAGACGAAACACGACAAACCUGUAAAAUCUGCAACGUGGACGUGUCAAUGCAGAACUUUCCAAUGAACUGGAUGGGACCAGGAAGACAAACCACACACACUGUCACGUUGUGCUGGGCAGCAUGACAGAUCAAAGAGAAUCCCAAGGAAGAGCAAGUCCUUGCUGGCUGCAGUGCACGUGGUGGGGGGUUCAGCACAGACUGCUGUUUGGUUUACGGAUUCAGGUGUGCGUCUAUCUUGGGCCUGCCUUUUUAUGGAAAAAUUUUGUGGAGAUACACUGCACUGACUGGAAAAUUAUUCACUUGUUUUUUAAUCAAAUUUAUCGAGUGGAAGCAUUGGUUAUGAAACUAGUCGUUUCACUGGACUUUAAUCCUGACCUAGUUGCCAACAAUGGGUGGUAAUUAUUCUUAUUUACCAAAGCAUAGAGAGAAUCUGUGUUAAAAGAGCAACCCAGGCAGGCACUGCUUUGAGGAGGGAACAAGUUUUACCACCUUAGGAGAGAUGAAUUAGUUUUGUGAAACAUCUCUGAUUGUCUUGCUGAAGGACUCCAACCACUGGACAUGAAUGGAAGUGUGCGGCAACUUUGUACUGCAGACAGCAAGUUAAAGCCCCCCGCUCCCCCACGCCCAGGAAAGCUCAGGAGUCAGGGGCCUCGGCGGAGCACACUCCUGACUUUACCACUGUGUGCCAUGGUGCUCCUGACAGCCUGGUUGGCCGUCACUCAUCUAGAAGAAUGAAUGAACCUCGUAUUAAGCGCUCCUCGCUGUUGGUUCAAGUAGAUCUCCUCAGAGUUCUCACUAGUCAGGUUCCCACCGUCUUUGGCAGAUUUGAUUCCUGGACUCCCACAGAAGGAUUUCAGAGAAGUCUUUGAACAAAUGCAAGAGGCACAAACUUCACCUAACAAUUGUUUACUGAAACAUGUGUAACUUCUGUGCCUGGCAUAGGGCUGAGUGCUGAGGGUCUGAAGCAAGACAGGUCCCUGCCCCCAAGGUGCUGUAGUGCACAGCCUGCAGUCACGGAGCAGGUCUUAGGGCAUGGUUCUUCACUUGUGAGGGACUCCACAGCUGUGAGCGCCUAAUGAGAACCUGCUGAUCAAGUGAACGGGGCCGACCAGUAUCAGGAUGGCUGCUACUGGCAUCUGUGCAACUCGUCUCCACAGUGAAGAAGAUGAUGGACUCAGAUCCUCUUUGUUUUUGCUCUAUUUGUGCUUCUGUACAUGAGAUACCGGUAACCCUGGAGCAUGAAGGCCUUUCCCAAGGAGUACAUAAAGCCACAGACAGAAAAGAAUGCAUCUUUCUUAGAAUGUCCAUAUCAUUCAAUGAUGAAUUAUGGAAAAGACUUUUAUAUUGAACUCAAAAUAUGCCCUGUGACAUAACAUGAAAUUAAAUCAAAAUUUCAAAAUAAAAUCUAAGAUUUUAAAGAAGUGUCAUAUUUGCCGCCUAAGGCCACUUUGGGCCAUGUGCCCUGAUCCCAAGGAUAAACCUUCAUUCUGCAUCUCAGGAGAAUCCUUCAUUGUAGAGCUAGGACAAGGAUUUCCUGGUCUAGAUAGUGACUGGUUACCUACCACCUUACAGGCUCUCCCUCGAUGCCUUCCUCCAACUCUACUAUCUAACAAUGAAGUCUAACGUGGGGGAAUCCCACUAAAAUCCUAAACCAGAGGAAACAAGGUCAACUGCAGAAAUUCAGGUACUCUGGAUGGCAUGUAUUAUUAGCUUUUCUGCACUGAUGUACAUAAAUCCCCAAUUCUGAGGUUCUAGGUAUUGCUAGGAAUUUAAUUAAAACAUUACCCUGAGCUGUUAAGUCAAAUCUCAAAUUACCAAGGAGUACCUAGUGACUAAAAUUAAUUAGCAAUUCUAGCCAAACUAUUCUCUCAACUUCCAUUUGCUUGGGUGCCCUGCACAGGAGGAUAUGCUGGGAUGCAGGGUGAGGUUGCUCUCGGACACGCUCCCCCUCUGUAGACGAUCUGAAUCUCUGAUGGAAAAUGUUGAGGCUACCCCAAUAACUAGUGGAGGGGCCAAGAGCACACCUGAAUCCAGUUACUUUGUAUUGAGCUCACACCUUCAUACAAAAUGCCACGCUUGCUUGCGUGCUACAGGACUUCAGUGAAGCCUGUCACGCAGGGCUCUCCAGCUAGUCAGAGUCUGAAGGUCUCAAAGUGUUUGCAGAAUGCUACCUUUAUCUGUAGUGAAGAUCAGAAAUAUGUCUCAGUGUCCUGGCUUCUGCAUUUUUAAAGAAAAUCAUCUUCAACUGCAGCAUUUUGUUUAUACAUGAAUUCAGUGUGUGUGUGUGUGUGUGCGUGCGCGUGUGCAUGCACACGCAGGAAGGUGGGGCUGGGGGAGGCUGUUGGUUCACUGAGCGUCUGUCAGCAGCCUCUGUCACUCUGGGUCUGAGACAUCCCUCCGUGCUUCCCUCGCUUUCCUUGCUGCUGGCAUCUCACAUACCAAUGUCAUUAGGCACUGUCUGCCCCGGUCCUUCUACAAUCCAGCCCGUGCAGUUCCCGUCACAGCAAGUGCUUCCUCUGUCAGAGCAGACAAACUGACUGAAGCCACAGCCGGAAGCACGCUGACCACAAGUGCUAAAGUUCUGGUUCAACUGAAGAGGCUGUUCUAAGAAAGACUACUGAGCCUGAUGGGAGGCUUGACAUUUUUUGGUGGGGGCAUGACGGACAAAGAGACCUGGGGCUUCUCUUUCCUUCAUAGUCCCCUCUGAGGAGAUCAAAGAAGGUAAACACUGUCCUUUCGAUCAGACGGCAAUUGUGUUUCUACUCAGCUUACCAAGCAGGAGGACACACCAGGGUUUCCCAGAAUGCCUAGGGACACCCGGCAUGAGAGCGCAGAGGAGGCAGGGGAGGACUGAAGAUCAUCCUUUAACUUUCCAAAAGCAGGAAUAUAGGACACUUAAUAAACCUUAAAUCACUUGCCCCUUUUGUAGGGAGGGGUGAUUAUUUUUUACUGAACGGGACUAAAAUAAUCCGUAGAGCUCACUUUUUUAAGAUCACAGCAAAAAAUAGAACCCCAAAUCUGUUGCUUUCGGCGAACAACGGUGAUAAUGAUCUCUAUGCUCAGUGACUCUAAAAGCUAUUUAUAGCAAUUAUUAUACAUUCAGAAAAAACUAAACUAAAAAAUGGAUCCCAGGUAUGGACAUGGUAAAAAGAUCAUGGGGUUGGGGAGAGGGAGGGAUGAAUAAAUAGGGGGAGCACAGAGGGUUUUUAGAGCAGUGAAGCUAUUCUGUUUGCUGCUGUAAUGGUGGAUACAUGGCAUUAUACAUGUGUCAAAACCUAUAGAAGGUACAACACCAAGAGUGAAUCCUAAUGUAAAUUCUGGUCUGUAACUAAUAAUAAUGUGUCAUCUUGGUUCAUCAGUGGAAACAAACAUACCACAGUAAUGCAACAUGUUAAUAACAGGAGAAACUGGGUGGGAGUGAGGCAGGGAGGGGGGAAUGUACAGGAACUCUGUGCUUUCUGCUCUGUUUUUGUGUAAACCUAAAAGUGCUAUAAAAAAUAGUCUAUUAAAAACAAUAGAUCCCACACCUGGAAUUUGUUGGCCAGUCCCUAAUUCAAGGAUCCACACUUCCCUCUGUUCCCAAAGUACAGUGAACUCAAACCACUUACGGUAUCCCUGCAUUUCACAGGUGUGUUUCUGCAACAGCUUGUGACAUGAGUUUGUCAUCAGGAAGAGUCAUAGCCUGAAUCAAAAGCUCAGGACUUGAAGUCACAGUGCCGCAGUGUGUUAUAGACAGUGCACCAGUGAAUGGGUUGGUUAACCAACCUGGGUCUCCGUUUCUGUGUUUUGAGAAAGAGAUCAUGGGCUACCCCCACAGUUACCGUGUAAGGAUCAAAUGGAUGUGACAAAGUGUCCCAUAAGCUGGAAAGCAUUAUGCAAAAGUAUUCUAAAUCGGUGUCAUCAGCCUAAGGUCUCAAAGCUAGUGUGGAGUCAACCCUGCAAUCCACAUUUUGACUCCAGGUGUAGUGACUCCGUGUCAGGUUCCUUCCUUUCUACGGCAUUCCAUUUUAGAGAUACAGAAUUUCUCUUUUGGCAAUGCAGCCAUAUGAAGGUUACCCACACGACUCCCAACUUUAGGUGUCAGAGUGGUUCUGUUCUUGAGCUCUGAAUGACAUUACCAAAGCAGGCCACAUUAUAUAAUCUUCAGCUGGGCUGGAGUGACCACUUACCCUUCCCAGACUAGGUUAAUAGUUGUUCUUGGAUGAUACAGUGUAACAAAGACAGGCCCUCGCCAGCAUAGAGAACCGCACCCAUUUCUGAUGAAAUCCCUAAGAAAAGCCAGCUGCAGAAUCACUGGUUUAAGUCAUUGUAGGCCCUCAGGUGAAGCGAUUUCUGGUCCCCCACUGAGACUCUGAGAAAGCAAUCCUUGCCACUCCAAGUGAGGAAGCCAGGGGCCACACAGAAGAGAAAGGUGGGGCUGGCAGACGGUGUCGGACAAGGCAUGGCUGACCCACUGGAGGUUCCUAAUAGAGAACACUUAGGGUAACCUGCCCCCGGUUAAGCUGGUUCAUGACCCUUUGCCCCGGCAGCUUCCCCAGCAUAUUCAGUUAGCUAUGAAAUCUAGCAGAACAUUCCCAGAGGUUAUGUAUGGGAUUUUAGCAAUUUUUAUUGUUUUUUUCCUGUAUUCUUUUCUGGAUUCCAUGACUUUUUCCAGACGUCUACUUAAACAGCUUUCCAAAUUUCUUUGCUGUUGUUUCAGGAAAAAAUACUUGGGAUUUUUGAAUAUACAUACACAUACGUAUACACUCAUAAACCUCACUAUUGUAAGGUUGUUGUAUGUAAGCUGCUUCAUAUACAACAACGUUCCUUCGAACAGUGUUAGUCAUCCUAUAGGUCUACAUGUUGUCAAACUCUUGCCUGAAAUGGUUUUCCUUAAGGUCAGCCCUGCCUAGAUAGACUCCCAGAAAAGAGAAAAAUGUCAUCUCUCUCACCAUUGAUACGACUCCAGUGAGAGCUGAGGGGCAAGUCACUGGCACUGUUACUGACGUGGGAGUGGCUUGGAGGAAAUGUGCCACAGAGCUCCAGCUCUUAAGAGUGAAAGAGAUCACCAGCUGUGUGCAGGCUCUCUAAAUUCCUCAGUCCUUUCCAAAUCCCUCAUUUUACUGACCUGACCCGGGCACCCUGACCCCAAAGAUUUACCAGCUUGUUCACACAGGCGUCCUCUCUCCCUCCUGACACCCUCAUCCCUGCUCUAGACAGAGACCCUCUUUAGUAGUUCACGGACUCCUACCACUGCUUUGCAAGUUGCUUUGCUGAAUUACAAUGCUAAAGAUGGCCUAAGAGACCCUGAUUCAACUUUCUCACUUUAUAUGGGGGUCACACCAAGGCCCUGAGAAGAAGUGGGUGUGUGAAAGGAGAAACUGAGAGCCUUGUCCACUUGUGUAAUGUGCACAUACAUAGGACUGUACCUAAAUACUAAUAACUCUUCAUUCUCACAUUCCUUAGUGACUUGUUAGACGGCUUCAUUAUAAAGGGAUAUCUUAAAGAAUCCUAAACGUAUGUACAGUUGACGCUUGAACAUCCCAGGGAUUUAAGGGUGCUGACUCCCACAGUUUACUGCUCAUCAUUGAGCACCUACAAUGUGCAGGUUCUGUGCUAGCUGUGUUACAUAAACUGACUCUCGUAGCCCCACAAUAAUGCAAAGAAGUACAUAUUAUUGCAUCCAUUUCACAGAUGAGCAGUUCAAGUUCAGAGAACUGAAGGGACUAUACAAUGAUUACACGACUACUAAGUUGCAGUAACUUAAUCAGAACCCAGGUCUGACUCCUGACACCUUCACCAUACACUCUAAGAGGAAUAUUCUUUCACUUAAUGCCUGAUACCAUCUGCAGUGAAGACAUCCACAGGCCGGAACCGGAUGAAGAUCUCCAUUCUGGUUACUUAGGACGGGACCAGGAGAUGCUUGGCAGCCCAACAAACACAAGACCAUAAGCCAUGUUCAUUUCCGAUCCUGUGCGAUCACAUCCCCGCCACCCCACACUUCAUUCCUUAAAACAAACUGGCACAGGCAACCCCUACAGGGAAUUGACGGGCACUCCAAACACUGCCCGGCAGAGGCAGAACCGAAGUCCACCCGACGCCAAGGCCAGAGAUGCUAGAGCAGGAGGGCAGCGCCUCUCCCACAGAAAGCCCGCGCUUCCCUGCUGAGGCUGGCUGCCACACUCACCACAGAUAAAGCACGUGGUCUUUAAGAUCUCCUCUUUCUUCUGCUUUUCACUCCUCAGGUCAGCAAAGGUGUCAAUGAUGACCCCGAAAAUCAGAUUAAGGACGAUGAUGAUGACCAUGAAGAAGAACAAGAGGUCAUAGAUUACUCUGGCAGCAAAGAGGGGCUCCUGGAAAAGAGGUGUCGCCAUCAGCAACGUGACCCACCGUCCUCUGGCCCACAGAGCUCAGGGUCGAAGGAGGAGGACUCGACGUGCCCGACAUUCAGGGCUCACCCUCACCCUAUUGGUCUGCUCUGUCACAAGUUAAAUUGGGCAUCAAACUUGAAAAGUCACAACUGUGUCCCUUUUCAAGCCCUUUGCCCAGACUGUCGGUUCUGCAAGUGUUGUGUGGCAUGUGCACAAGAACAGCUUCCUGGGAUCUAAGGUGUCUGGGAGAUGUGCUCAGGCAGGCCAGACCCAGCCCUGCACGAGCAUUUCAGUACGUGGAGUGGGCGGGGCUUUCCACAAAGAGGGUUUCCCUGCACCCUGAUACUAAGGCCAUGGAUGGAGGGGAGAGAAGCCUCAACUGGCCAGUCCUGCACGUCUCCUCAUCACUACUCCAGCCCUGCCUCUGUCUUCGGUUUCCAUGCAAGCUCUCUGCGUGCUGCUCCCCACCCCCACCCAGCUCUGCCUUCCCUUCGGGAUCCAGCCACCUCCCCCCACCUCUGCCUUCCUGUCAGGAUCCAGCUACCUCUUUGGAUGGUUUCCUGAGCACGUCUCCUACUCCGCCCCCGCUCCUCAGCCCGUGACUCAGCACCGUGACAAUGCACAUCAGAAGUGUCUCACACGUGUGCUCCUUGUCUUGCUCCGUCUCUUCUGUGAGGACCAGCUCUAUGAAUGUGGUAAGAAACAACAGAUUUACAGCAUGUGGGAAAAGACGUACCAUGAUUUUGACACUGUCUUUCCUGAAUGCCAUCUUGCCAGCUGACAGACACAUGGGAACAAGAAAGAGUAAAACUAAGGAAUCAGGGCAAGAUUCUGGGAACCAGAAUGGAAGGCGUUCCUGUUUGCAUGUCAACAAGCAAGUGGCCAUGAAGGUAUUCCUACUUACGUUGAAAGCUCCCAGAAGAAACAACGUGGGUUGUAACCCAACCGAAAAUA